UAAGAAAGGAAAGCCUGGUUUGUGGAAGGAAUGGAGGGUGAAGAAUCAAAAAAGAGUAAAGAAUAUUCUUAUGUUUCACUAUGAAGAAACAGAGAAGUAACACGAGUGAGAGACAGAGGACAGAGGACAGAGAACAGAGGAUGGAGGCGCAGGAUUCGCUUUUGGUGGAGAUGGGUUCUUGGAGCUGGAUAGUAGGAGGAAGAUGCCAGGCCCUGAGAACGUGUCAGAGCAAGAGAGCUGCUGCCAGGGCGCCCUCCCAAGUCACGCAGAGAGGAGCAGCCUGCGCACCAUCCUCCUGCCUCCCCUGAGUUGCUGUGUCAGAUGUGGUUUCAUUGCUAGAACAAAUCUGCUGGGAUUGG